UUUGCUGCAUCGUUAGGGAAUGUCAGAUUGCUUUUAACAACCUCAAGGUUGGAUAUCAGGCCUUUAUUGGUGUUCACGCCGUCAGUAAUAAAA
rnacentral:tRNA from 1 species